rnacentral:tRNA from 1 species
UCUCUUUUAGCAAAUUAGUGCAGCGAAUUUAGGAUUCGAAGAUGAGUUUACCUCAAAGAGGA